UACCAGCACCCCGAGUGGUCGGGACGAUUAUUGGGCCUAAAGCAUCCGUAGCCGGUUCUUUAAGUCCUCCGUUAAAUCCACCUGCUUAACAGAUGGGCUGCGGAGGAUACUAUAAGACUAGGAGGCAGGAGAGGCAAGCGGUACUCAGUGGGUAGGGGUAAAAUCCGUUGAUCCAUUGAAGACCACCAGUGGCGAAGGCGGCUUGCCAGAAUGCGCUCGACGGUGAGGGAUGAAAGCUGGGGGAGCAAACCGG
rnacentral:rRNA from 1 species